CAGAAAGUUGGAGAGAAAGAUAUUGCUGCUGGGUUUAGUGGAAAGAAAAUCAUUAUUUUUUUAAUUUGCUAUAAGUAAUGAACAAUAAAUUUUACUUCUGAAAUACUAGCUGUGUUUCGUGAAUGAGGAAAAGAGAGGCUAUAAAAAUAAGAGCAGCUGAAUGGAAAAAAAAAAAAAGGAUUAGAAGCAGUAUUUUUUCCCAUUAUGAUGUCAGGAUCUCACUUCAUGCAGAAAGCAUCGUCCAGUUGUGACCUCAUGGACUGUAAGACUUAACUUGAAAGUACUGACCAAGCAGUCAGUGUUGUCACCUGAAGCGGCAGUACGACACUACUCUUACCUGCUAAGUCACUGUGAAACCUACAUCUCCUUGCAUUGCAACAGUCAGAACACUGUUGGAAUGUCUGUCUGCAUGCACAAACACAGAAACCCAUCAUCUGUUAUCGCCUUGGAAGCACUACUACUGGGAAGGGGGGGGGGGGGGAGAAGGUCCAAUAAUCCCCGUUUAAAAAUUUUUUUUUAGCCUUAUUGAUAAGGAAAAUGUGAGAGGAUAUGGAAGAAGAAACUUUGUACAAAUGUUCAGUGAACAUGAAGUCUCUUGAAAUUUAAAGAAAUGGUUGGGUUUAUUUUCCUGGUGAAGGGUAUCUUUUUGCUUUUGGAAUUACUUACAUCUCAUUGGUAAACCUGAGAGCGAAUGAGUUUGACUUGGUUUGCUGUCAGUUCAGUGACUUCAGUCAUACUUUCAAGGCUUUACUAUGACUGCACUGAACUGUACAGACUUUAAUAGCAGCUUUCAAAAGUUGCAAUAGGUUUGGGCUCAAGCUGUCACUUAGGACUGGAGUUCUUGUAAACAAGUUCAGCAGAUGUCUGUGUCAUCACUUCAUUUAUGUAAUCCAUUCUGCAGAAGCAUUUGUUUCUGUUCAGGAAGGCUGAAAACAUGGACCAUUUUAUUUAUGUGCAGGCAUGCAAUUAUGUAGUUCUUGCCCAUGGAAGACCACUACAUUUGACACAGCAUUUGGAACAAAACAGUAUAGCCUUGACAAUAACAUGAAGUUUAAUAUAUAAAUCAUUUUACUGAAGUUAGUGAUGUACUGACUUCCACAUGCUUCAGUAAGGACACUUGUCAAUUCAUGGUAUAAGUAUUCAUUUAAUUACUUACAUAUAACUUCACUAGCCAUGUUUUGAUCAGCUGAAAUCAGAGUGAAGUAAGGUUUUAUAACAAGUAUCUUCUGAUUAGUUUUGUAUUUCUAGCAAAAAUACUUUUAACUGUGACAAAGUCAGUGAACCGGAGAAAAGAGAAGGGAAAUAAUUAAAAGAUAUAAGAACUUAAUGCUGCUGUGAUUUUAGGGUUACAGUGUGCCAGACAUUCAUAUUCCUUGGUACUACCAGUCCCUCUGAAGGAGAAAGUAUUAGAGUAAUAUAAUAAACCAGGACAUUAGAGAAUUUAGCUUUUCUGC
rnacentral:lncRNA from 1 species